GAUGAACGCUAGCGGCAGGCUUAAUACAUGCAAGUCGAGGGGCAGCAUGAUUGUAGCAAUACAAUUGAUGGCGACCGGCAAACGGGUGCGGAACACGUACACAACCCUCCAAUAAGUGGGGAAUAGCCCAGAGAAAUUUGGAUUAAUACCCCGUAACAUAACGAUGUGGCAUCACAUUGUUAUUAUAGAUUUUUCGCUUAUUGAUGGGUGUGCGGCUGACUAGAUAGUUGGCGUGGUAACGGCCCACCAAGUCUACGAUCAGUAGCUGAUGUGAGAGCAUGAUCAGCCACACAGGCACUGAGACACGGGCCCGACUCCUAGGGGAGGCAGAAGUAAGGAAUAUUGGACAAUGGACGCAAGUCUGAUCCAGCCAUGCCGCGUGAAGGAUUAAGGUCCUCUGGAUUGUAAACUUCUUUUAUAAGGGACGAAAAAAGGCUUUUCUAAGUCGUCUGACGGUACCUUAUGAAUAAGCACCGGCUAACUCCGUGCCAGCCGCCGCAGUAA
rnacentral:rRNA from 1 species